rnacentral:snoRNA from 1 species
AUACAAUGAUGACAGCAUAGUUCAGCAGAUUAAACAUGAAGAACUAUCAGCAUUGUCUUUCGCUCCUAUCUGAUGUAUCC